CAGGUAGAGGCCUUGUCCACCUAAUUUUAAUACGUUCAAAUGAAAGAGAGAAACACAGUGGAAGAUUAAGAGUCACGCUUGACACUUCCAAGAAAAGCAGUUCCUUGUUGAUCACGGCUUCCCGGGCAGCAGACACUGCUUCUUACUUCUGUGCUACGGACGCACAGUGGCUCUAGGUUGACCUUUGGGGAAGGAACACAGCUCACAGUGAAUCCUGGUAAGUGGAGGGGAGCAUUG
rnacentral:lncRNA from 1 species